AGAAUAUAUAAAACCGUCUUUUAACUAUUAACUAAAAAAAGUAAAAACCGACUCUUAAAUAAGGGGCGUUACAGACUUACAGUUGGUCUUGGUUCAUUCAUACAGAGCCGAGUUUUAACUUUUUUAGUUAAAAGUUAAAAGACGAUUUUUUAUAUUCC
rnacentral:pre_miRNA from 1 species